GCUCUGAGCUGUCAGCACAGAGCCCAACGUGGGGCUCCAACCCACAAACAGGGAGAUCAUGACCUGAGCCGAAGUUGGACGUUCAAUCGACUGAGCCACCCAGGCGCCCCUAAACCAGGAGCCUUUUUAAUAUAGAGUCCUCAUUUGGGGGAAGUUGGUGAUAUCAGAGGAGGACAUCACUUUGGAAAAUGAGUUAAAAAGAAAGAAAAGAAAGGAAGAAAGAAAAUCGAGAAAGAGGAAUUCCUGAUAUUUUCAGAGGAAGAAAUACCUGAUUGCUGAAAACAGUCCAUAUCCUGAACAGUUUCCUAGAAAUGCAACAGGUUGAUUUUUAUAAGCCAUUCCAUGCAUGAAACAGCAAGUUCUGAUGCUUCCGAUUGCCCAAAGAGUGUCUAAUAACCCCAGCAUUACAUAUGCUCAACAUCAUGUGACCCUGGUUCUGCAAGAAAGAAUAAUCAUGCUGGUCAUACAGUUUAAGAAGACAAAGAAAUGUGUGCUCAUUUUGGAAAACUUAUCAUCUUCUGCAAAUCAGUAAGACAGAGACCCCAAUGGAAAAGGGGCCAAGAUACAAGAUCAAAAUUCACAGAAAGGAAAAAGUACAAAAAGCUAACAAGAAUAUGAAGAGAUGCUCAAACGCAUUAGUUGCCAGAAAGAUCCACCAUGGAAACACGGCCAGGCCAACUUGCUCAGUGAUGAGAAACAAAACUCAUUUACUCACAACCGUCCUGGCCGAUCGCCAAACUGUGCUAGACGCAUGUUACAUCAGCCAGCCUGUGGCCCAAGCACCAGGGAACCUGGCAGCAAAGGUUCUUGGGAGGUUCUCAUCUGGUGCUGGAGAUGAUUGGCUCCCCCAGUCGGUAAGGAAGGGAUCCUCCUGACCCAGCACCUAGACCAACCUCUGUUGGAAGAGACGGAGCUUGAGAGGCAUCCUGUCCUCACCCACAAUCAUGGUGCUAAUCAAAAGUGACCUUUAGGAUGAUCCACUGGCUUUGGAACAACUGCCUGGGACAUUUCCUUCCAGUAUCAGGUAUCUGUCUCCAGCAAACCUGUGCAAGCUGAGUAUCACCAUCUGGUCCUGGAUGCAUUUUGUUAUCAGUGCUGGAAGUGAUGAUACAGUAUGCCGCUGUCAUGUGCCCAGAGGAUGCAGGGGCCAGAGAGGACACUCAGGUCGGAACAGAAGAAAAAUGGCAGGAUGCUGGACUCUUCCAUAAUGACCACAUUUUCCCUGUUGUGAUGUGGCCCACCAUGCUCAUUUUGAAACAGAGAAAAACAUCAUCAGCUCAGAUGUCCUCCCUUCUAGACCAGGGUGCUUUUCACCCAGGGCAGCAACGGUGAUGUGUUUGCAGAGUCAUCUGAUCAUGGGACCAUUUGUCCACGUAAAACCUGUAAGUUGCACACAACACAUUUUUGAGAAAUACUGUCUACGAUUUACGUAAGUUGAAGAGAUCUAUUGAAGCACCAUGUAUAUACUGGAAAAGAAUGUAGAUAAGUUCGUAGAUGAUCGAGCAAGAGCUUUGCAGAGAUAUCCCUGUAGAUACUCAUGUGACAGUCCUUAUACUUGCCCACAAAAGAUUCCUUGUGGCUGUUGGCGGGGAUGGAACACUAGGCUGGGCUGGCCAGGCUUUUCAUUCAUUAGGUUCUUUCUUUAUUGUGAGGGUGUGGAUGACUGUGUGUGUGUGUGUAUGUGUGUGUGUGGACUGGAUAAUCAGAGGGCUUACAAAAGAAAAAAGUAUUGGGAUAACAAUCAGAAGGCGUGAAGUGUUUGUGGCUUUUGUCAUAGAUUUGUGAUGUGACCUCUCACAGUUCUAUCCCUUCUCUGGUCAGGGUGGGUGCCACUGAAUAGCCUGGUACCCCUCAGACAUAAGGCAGGCCUUCCGUACCCAGCAGGCCUCCCUGGAUACUUGGGACCUCAGCCAGAGCUGCCUGAAGGUGAAGAGGGGGAGAAGGAGGUUGUCAGGCUGAUGACAUCAUGUCUAAGUGUUUGGGUCACCUCCGGAGGCGCAGAGUGUUGGGUAUAAAGGGCUGCGACGUGGUUGAAGGAGGUGUGAAUAGACUGUCGGAUGUCCUAGAGCAGCCAUGCAUCCCAGCCUGAUUGGGCAGGAUGCUCACAGUUAGAUGUGGCUACAACAAAGACCCUCAGAAGUGAUUUUGAGCUAGCUAGCUUAAGGAAAAAAGAAAAUAUUUUGGGUAGGUAUUUGAGCACAUGAUGGAAUUGAAACAGUUUGAACAGCCACAUCUUAAGAAAGUUCAGAAGCAUGAGAGCUCCAGGGAUCUGCCUUUAACUCUGUUUUUGUGAGGCUCAGCUCUCAUUUUGGGUAAACGUCCACUCUGGUCCAUUUAGCUAUGACACAUCUGUUUGUUUGGGAGAGAGUGGCAAUACUUUGAUCUUGAGGGAAAUUUGUCCUCUCUCCAGCCCCAGGGGAUGAAUGGUGACAGUCUAAACCAGUCACAGUAAUGUAAUUUCCCUUUGUCAGUAACUGGUCUAGGGGUGGCCAUGUGACCCAAGACUAAUGUAGGAGAUGUAAAUAGAAAGAGGCUGGAUACGGAUGCCGGAAAAGCUUUUGUCUUCUCAAUAAAAAGGAGCAACAGAAUCAUGGGACAUGGCUCUUUCUUCCUUUGCUUUGCCCCGUCUCUGGCAUUUGGACCCAAUGCCUGGCGCUGCAGCAGCCAUGUUGAGACCAUGAAGUGACAAGCACCGGAUGAAAGUCGUGUGCUAGGAACAGAGGGCGCAAAGGAGAAAGAGCAAGGUCCUUCUACAGUGAAGCCGCCACAGUGACGCUGGACCGAACACCUCCUGAUUUGUGCUUAUUUGAGAAAAAUGGUACCCUGGUACUUGAAAUCACAGUACACUUUGCCUAAUAUACUUGCAACCAAAACCAUUUCUAGGUGUAAAAUUAGUUAGUAUAAAUACAGAUGGUGGGAGCCAAGUCCCCAUGAUCAGAGCAGGAGUCUCAGAUCUUUAAGGGAGAGAGAGUCAAAACUGUCUACGAAAGCCAUCUGGAGCCUCGAGAUCUCACCACGGCUGCAGAACCUGGAACACCUGUCCUAGAUAGAACUAAUCAACUCGUUAAUUAACUAAUUGUACUGAUUUUAUUGAUCCCUUGCUAUCUACUAGGUGUUUUUCCAGGUACUGGGGAUAGACUGGAGAAGACAGAGAAGGUGCCGACUCUCAUUAAGCUGACAUUCUAAAGGGAAAACAGGCACUAAACAAGAAUCAUAAACCAAGGGAGUCCUUUGAGGAAGCGGGAGGUGCUGUAUGAAACGGGAAAGGAGUGUCACGAUGGGAAUUUAUAGGAGGUGUGUGCGUGGCAAGCCUGAAAUGGUGAUAUUUGAGGUGAAAGUUGAGUUGCAGAAAGGAGCCAGCCGUGUGAGAAGAGACCCAGGCUUCGGGAGGGAUGCUGGUGCAGAGUCCUGGGCAGGAGCAAGCAUGCCUGCUAGAGACACAGAAUGCAUCCUUAACAGGGGUCCCCUGGGCUGUCCGUGUUCAUCUCUUGCCAACCCCUCUGGCCGCUGGAUUCUCGGACUUGUGAUAUAUCUCAAGGCUGCCGACAGGAUUUCCUGUGGCACAGGUGACUUUUCCCAUUGCCUCUGCUUCAGGCUGUGAGAGCCCGGGGGAUGGGAUGGCUGGGGAGGGUCUGUGUAAUAGACUGUGAUCAGAGUGACUGCUGUCCUUUCCCUUCGAGAAUGGACCCAUUGUGCUUGGCCACAGCACUGAGGCUCCCCGGGGGCCCGACUUCCUUUGGAACGGGGUCCACCCCAUUCUUGAAAGACUGGCAUAGCAUCCAGAGGGCUCAUAGCUGCUUCAGCACCAUGCCACAGUCACCUCGAAUUACCAUCACCACACUGGGCAUUUCCCUGUGGAAAGGCCAAUGCAGAGAAGUAGGAAGCCUGGUACCUUCCCCUCCCCACCAGCUGUGGCUCCUAGCCUGCCAUGGCUGGUCAGACCUGACAUCAUUUUCUUCCCUUCCCUUCCCUUCCCUAUCCCCCAUCCCCCCAUCCCAUCCCAGUUUAUUUUUGAGAGAGACAGAGCAUGAGCUGGGGAGGGGCAGAAAGCAAGGGGACAGAAAAUCUGAAGCAGGCUCCAGGCUCUGAGUUGUCAGCACAGAGCCUGAUGUGAGGCUCGAACUCAGGAACUGCGAGAUCAUGACCUGAGCCGAAGUCGGACACUUAACCAGACCUGACAUCAUUUUCAAGGGAUACUUAUCAGUAAAGCAGUCCCCUGAGGUCACAGGGCUAGAAGCUUCCUCACAGGUCCUCCUGCACUGCACUCCGGACCUCUUGUAUCUGUCAGUAUCCAGAACAAAAGUGGCAGGUUGCCUGAGGAACCAGAUAUUCACCUAGUUCUGGCAGAGAAUCCAGUUUUCUUUUCUCUAACACUUGAACUUGGGGGCAAUGAGAACCACUGUUGCAAUCUCCCUGGGCUGUUAGGUUUCUUCCAGGGACCUGUGUCAUUAGCGGGACCCCAGGAUUGUGAUGACUGUUCACCUUAGAAGGGCAAGCUGGUGAGGAAGUGCCCAAACUACCAUUUUGAAACCAGGUUCACUUCUCCUAGAUCUGGGACCAAUCCCAAAAUACCAAAAUUGAAAGACACUUUGGUGAUUAAUACCCCUCCUCUUACAGAUGGGGAUAAAGGGGGAAUGGCCCGACUAAGGUUAAUAUUCACACUACGGAGAAAGACUGUUUGGGACCCACAAGCAUCUUUCUCAGAUGUUUACAGCGUCUUGUUGUAACAUUCGCUGUGACUUAAGGGAACAAAGAAUACAACCUCACGCAUCAAGGCCGUGUAUAAAGCUCCCCGUGCCUCUGUCUGGUUUGACUUCCCAUCCUAUGCGGUGGCCAUUUUCUCAUUUCACAGGCCAGGAAAGUGAGGGGGAUGAAUCCAUUUAGUUAGUGGGUGGCAAAACUCAACUCCAGCUUGGUUUUUAUUUAAUGGUCCUCCCGAGUCCAUCUCUACUUUUGUCCUUGGUAGGGGAGGUGCAAAACAGAAAUUAGCCGUAACUCAGGCAGCAUGGGGUGCACAGCCGGUGUUCUCAGGUGCUAGAGCUCUAAGGAGAGGCUGUGAUUUAUAGUGAACCACCCCUUACCUUGGCCGGUGAACCCUUCCCUCUUCCGGCCCCCAGAUCUGAGGCAGGGCCCCCACGGAUCCUCAUGUAACUUGGUGCUGUCAUGUCAAUGGCUGCCUCCACUUGGUUAAAUGCCACCUCCCGGACACAGUGUGGCAUGUAAAAGCCCAGUCCAUUAGAACCAGCGGGCUCAGUUCCAGCACUUCAGGUGACUGGAGGCAUCCAUCACUUAACCUUGCCCUGCCUCAAUUUUCGGAGCUAUACAAUGGGGCUAGCAGUAGUACCUUCCUGGGAAGGUAGGUGAAAGAGGUAAAGCAUUCAGAAAAGGCAUGUGCUCAGUAAAUGUCCAUUGUUGCACCCAUUUGCUCUCCACACAACAGAAGCAACUCUGCUACAGAAUUCUGCGUUUUCUCCAGCGGUACGAAGAGUGUGUUCACAGUUCCUGAUGACUGGUAGACAUCCCAGGGUGAGAAGUAUCUAUAAGACACAGUCAUGUGCACUUCACAGCUUGACUCUGGAGAGUGAUCUCUUCCAGGCCCUCUACUACAAGGGUAUUUUCUUUUUCUGUCACUGUCACCCCUCCAACAGCAGAAGUUUCUGGCUCACCCACCGGAGAGGCUAAAGCGUGCCUGGAAUUAUAUUGCUUACAGAAUAAAGAGAAGUCAGAGCCUCUUAUGUAACUUGAAGAGUAGGAAAGAUCCAGUGAUAAAAACCAGUGCCCUGAACUUUUGCAAAGCACGAUCAAUCGCUGCGGACGAUCCUCCGGUCCUUGGCAAGGCUGGAAAACAGAGCCAAGAUGCAAACUAUGAAUCAGCCGCUCAGCUUCACAUAACAGAUCAUGAACUGGGAGCUGUGUGGAAAGACCCGAUUGGGAGCCAGGGUCCUGCCCUGGGUUUCUUCCAGGUGACCCUACCACCCGUCAGCCGUCUGGUCUUGGAAGAAUCUGCUCCUCUCCUGUUUCCAGGAAGAAUUGGGUAAACCGUGUUCUGGGACCUGUACCUACACAUGGAAUUGCUGGAUCAUAGGGAGUCCAAGUGGGAGACGGGCAGAGAAAGGAGGACAGAGGAUCUGAAGCGGGCUCUGCGCUGACAGCAGUGAGCCCAGAGUGUGACCUGAACUCACAAAUUGUGGGAUCAUGUUGGAUGUUCAACCACUGGAGCCACCCAGUAGGUCAUGCAGGGUGAAAGAGGAGUACCAAAGGAGACUGAAAACCUAAGUGGAUGGAGAAGCUGGAGAGUGACAAGACAUCUUCAACAUCUGCUUCUCACUCUUUAACGUGCACAUGAAUCAAACAGAUCCUGCGAAGAUACUGGUUCUAAUUCAUUAGGUUUAGGGGUGGAAGCAACAAUAUGCAUUUUUUUUUUUGAGCUUCCGGGUCAUGUCAGUGCUACUGGUCCAUGGACCUCACUUUGAGUUACAAAGUCUUCAGCGUCAAUUUAGUACAAAUCUUUACCCACGGCUGGAAACUGCAUUGCAACAGCCCUGAUGAGUCAUUAGAAGCCUCUGAGGGAAGACCUAUCGCGUGAUUCACCUCCUCCUCCUUUGUGGAGUAAGUCUAAUUGUUGGAACAGUUUUUCUUGUCCCUAGACGCUAUCUGGGAAAUUUCUAUGGAUUGGUCCUUGUUCUAUUUCUGGAACCACGGAGAUAAUGAACCUGAUCUCUCUUUCUCAUGACAGCCAUUUGGAAAUUUGAAGAGUAUUUUUAUAUUUCCCUUAAUUCUUUUCAGUACAUUAAAUCUCAUCUCCUUUCGCUGUUAAUCAUAGGACCCUCUGGGCUGUCCUGGGAAUCUGUUCUUUAAGUGUACCUCCUGUAAUUGAGCACAGCAGUCUUGCUUUGUCUAAACAUCAGAGAAUAAGAUGGGCCUAUUACCUACUUGGCUGUUGAUUUUCUGCUUCUGCUAGCGUCCUCCAUCAUCUCGGCCUGUUGACUCCUCUUUGGGUGUCACUGCUUGUAAGCCCCUCUUAGUGAACAGAGCUAGAGAAUAUAUGUAUGCUUACAUGUAUGUGUAUGUCUAUGUAUUUUCUCAUUUGUCCAUCCAUCCUUCUGUCCAUCCAUCCAUCCAUCCAUAGAAACCUCUGAGUUCAGCAUGAUAGAUUUACUCCAAUCCAGUUGCAUAGGUAGAUUGUAGUUUUCUCCCUUUCCAUGUUUACAACUCCCUUCCCUGGAAGUAAAAAAAACCUGCCUUCUCAUAUCCUUAAGAUAGUUACCUGUGUGAUCAAACCCUUGGGUAAAACCAAUCGUCUAUCCAUCACCGCUGUCCUUCCCCUGUGCACACUUGCCUCACACCACUCACUUCCCAACACACUCCCACUUCUGGGACUCAGCUAAUAGUUUUUGGGCUGAACUAUUUGGGAAGGCAAGGGGAAAAGGAGGAGGAGGAGGAGAAGUUUUUUCUCUUUUGACUUGUAAAUGACUGAAUUAUACUAAUAGGUUUUUCUAAUAUUGACUCAUCCUUGGACUCAUGCAUUGUGCCCUGCUUUGAUUUUUCUACUCUUUCAUUUAAGAUUUCUUGGUAAGUUAAUUUAUUUUGCUGAUCUGAAAAGGCUUUGUCAUGCAAGAAAUGUUCUUAGACAUUCCCUUAAUUUCAUUCUCUUUGAUUUCUACAGGGGGAAUAUAAAGAUUUCUCCUGACUUGUGUGAAUUUUUCCAGGGUCCUUUCUUUUGGAAAUGCUACAAGAUGGCUGUGUUUUUAGUGGUGGAAAUUAUCGAUAGGUCUCAAAAGCAAGGAAUCACAGAAUAUCUGCUUUCCAGUAGUGAUGUAUGACUCACCAAAGCCACAACAUUUUUUAAAAUACCCUUAGUUUUUUUCAUAGAAACAGAACUGAGAUUCCUAAUAUUUCCUGGAAUUUUUUAAAAAAAGGAAGGAAAAAAAGAAUUCAAGGAGAUGUCCAUUGGUUAGCCCAUCACUGGCACGCAUCAGCAUUAAAGAGUAAUUGGUGGGGUGACUGGAAGGCUCCAAGUAGAAUUCUCUGAAGGGGCAUGCCUGUGUUGGCAGGGGAUGCUGGCUGUUGGCUGGGACUGCAGUUCAAUGGGGGUCAUUUGUCUCUCCAAGGUUCUGCAGGAAGGUGUGGGACUGGAAUAUUAAUGUGGCCAUUUUUGGAAAAGACAACUGCUCCAAGAAAUUCUCACCUUUUCCAUGUCAUCUGUACCAGCUGUAGCUGCAGAGAAAAUGUGAAAAGUGAGCCAGAUUCUCUCAGCUGCCCAGCUGCACGUGAGCAUUGCAACUUCUUCACGCCAAAAAUAAGGCACGGUGUAAGCUGUCAGUGCUUAGCUGGGAAACCCAACAAAUUUUCAUGUUGUAUUUCCCAUGCCUAGCAGAGCCAUGAGUUUUAAAUUCCCUGUGAACUGUCAAAUAUAGCUUAAGCAAAAAAAAAAAAAAAAACA